AAGACUAUAGACCUGCGGAGUACCUGCGAAGGAUCAUUAACGUAUCUAUGAUGGGGUGCGGAGCGCCCUGCUCCGGUCGAACGGCCGUGCAGCGGGUGCGCCGCCCCCGUCCCACCUCACAAACCCACUGUGAACAUUCACCGGUGGAGGGGGCUCGGUCUGCGCCGUGUCCCCGAUGCCGAAUACCCAAACUCCAGUUGCAAAGAACGUCGUGCGGACUCGGUGCCGCCUAAAACAUGU
rnacentral:misc_RNA from 1 species